rnacentral:rRNA from 1 species
ACUCCUACGGGAGGCAGCAGUAGGGAAUAUUGCGCAAUGGGGGAAACCCUGACGCAGCAAUGCCACGUGAGUGAGGAAGGCCCUUGGGUUGUAAAGCUCUGUCCUAUGGGAAGAACUGCAUUACGGUUAAUACCCGUAGUGUUUGACGGUACCAUAGAAGAAAGCACCGGCUAACUCCGUGCCAGCAGCCGCGGUAAUACGGAGGGUGCAAGCGUUGUUCGGAUUUACUGGGCGUAAAGCGCGCGCAGGCGGAUUGGCAAGUCAGAUGUGAAAUCUCGGGGCUCAACCCCGAAACUGCGUCUGAAACUAUCAGUCUAGAGUCUCAUAGGGGGCAGGGGAAUUUCACGUGUAGGGGUAAAAUCCGUAGAGAUG